rnacentral:piRNA from 1 species
GAGCAUUCAGUGGCUGGAUCUAACUGCCC